rnacentral:rRNA from 1 species
UACGGAGGGUGCAAGCGUUAUCCGGAUUCACUGGGUUUAAAGGGUGCGUAGGUGGGUUGGUAAGUCAGUGGUGAAAUCUCCGAGCUUAACUUGGAAACUGCCAUUGAUACUAUCAGUCUUGAAUACCGUGGAGGUCAGCGGAAUAUGUCAUGUAGCGGUGAAAUGCUUAGAUAUGACAUAGAACACCAAUUGCGAAGGCAGCUGACUACGCGAAUAUUGACAC